rnacentral:rRNA from 1 species
ACUCCUACGGGAGGCAGCAGUGGGGAAUAUUGCACAAUGGGCGCAAGCCUGAUGCAGCCAUGCCGCGUGUAUGAAGAAGGCCUUCGGGUUGUAAAGUACUUUCAGCAGUGAGGAAGGUGGUAGUGUUAAUAGCACUAUCAUUUGACGUUAGCUGCAGAAGAAGCACCGGCUAACUCCGUGCCAGCAGCCGCGGUAAUACGGAGGGUGCGAGCGUUAAUCGGAAUUACUGGGCGUAAAGCGCAUGCAGGUGGUUUGUUAAGUCAGAUGUGAAAGCCCGGGGCUCAACCUCGGAAUUGCAUUUGAAACUGGCAGACUAGAGUACUGUAGAGGGGGGUAGAAUUUCAGGUGUAGCGGUGAAAUGCGUAGAGAUCUGAAGGAAUACCGGUGGCGAAGGCGGCCCCCUGGACAGAUACUGACACUCAGAUGCGAAAGCGUGGGGAGCAAAC